CGUCUAGGCGGCCUUUUAAGUCUGAUAUGAAAAUGCGGGGCUCAACUCCGUAUUGCGUUGGAAACUGGAAGGCUAGAGUAUCAGAGAGGUGGGCGGAACUACAAGUGUAGAGGUGAAAUUCGUAGAUAUUUGUAGGAAUGCCGAUUGGGAAGCCAGCUCACUGGAUGAAUACUGACGCUGAAGCGCGAAAGCGUGGGGAGCAAACG
rnacentral:rRNA from 1 species